GUCAAACAUGAAAUAGUAUCUCAUAUAUGUGCAACUGAUGUUUAUGUGUGUUUGUGUUUCUGUAUCCACAGAAGGAGGAACAUGUGAGGUGAUCGCAGCACACCGAUGUUGCAACAAGAACCGUAUUGAGGAACGUUCCCAGACGGUCAAGUGUUCAUGUUUACCAGGAAAAGUGGCUGGCACGACACGAAACAAACCCUCCUGUGUAGACGCCUCCAUUGUGAUUGGGAAGUGGUGGUGUGAGAUGGAGCCAUGUCUGGAGGGAGAAGAGUGCAAGACGCUACCAGACAACUCCGGCUGGAUGUGUUCCUCUGGGAAUAAGAUCAAGACCACGAGGGUGAGGGCUCGGAACACUCUGAACAUCAUUACACACACACAUUCACUUAGCUACACAAAUAAGGGCACGGCACAGACAUUUAUUGAUUUUGUGGCAAAACUUUACUAUAUGCAUAAGCUGAAAUAA
ensembl:processed_transcript